AUCAUGAGUCAGAAAUUCAAGCCGCCAGAUGCUUUCCAACUAACAGGGACCAAACGGGACCGUUCUAAGGUGUCCUAAACGAUUUGGAGGUGGGAGUUGGUAAACUAAGAGAAUCCUAUCCUAAAGAGGACAAGACCAGACGGCAACAACCGACUCCGGGUUCCUUGGACCUCGGCAUUCCGUACAAGGCACCUAUCAUGUUACCGUUUCUGCUGUACAUCAAAGAGUGUGAUGGAAUCUGCAUCUCGAAGUAGAAGAUUGCCUGUGCCAGCAUAGAAGAUCUCAUCACAGUUGGGCACCUGUACCUUUUUGGUGAUCUCAUUUUUCAAAUUCUUGAUCAGAAGCUGAAAGGAAUGUUAAAGAAUUAAGAGAAAAAGUGAUUACAUAAAAUGAUGACAGCUAAUGACAUCCCUCAGCAAUUAUUCCUUAGCUUCAAUAAACUAAGUAUAUUUCUCUCU